AGUGAACGCUGGCGGUAGGCCUAACACAUGCAAGUCGAACGGCAGCACAGUAAGAGCUUGCUCUUACGGGUGGCGAGUGGCGGACGGGUGAGGAAUACAUCGGAAUCUACUUUUUCGUGGGGGAUAACGUAGGGAAACUUACGCUAAUACCGCAUACGACCUACGGGUGAAAGCAGGGGAUCUUCGGACCUUGCGCGAUUGAAUGAGCCGAUGUCGGAUUAGCUAGUUGGCGGGGUAAAGGCCCACCAAGGCGACGAUCCGUAGCUGGUCUGAGAGGAUGGUCAGCCACACUGGAACUUAGACACGGUCCAGACUCCUACGGGAGGCAGCAGUGGGGAAUAUUGGACAAUGGGCGCAAGCCUGAUCCAGCCAUACCGCGUGGGUGAAGAAGGCCUUCGGGUUGUAAAGCCCUUUUGUUGGGAAAGAAAAGCAGCAGGUUAAUACCCCGCUGUUCUGACGGUACCCAAAGAAUAAGCACCGGCUAACUUCGUG
rnacentral:rRNA from 1 species